UCCGACUGUCUGUGAAGGCUGAGCGGCUUGCAGAAGGAGGAGAAGGAAGUGAACCAGGAGGGACAGGGAGCAGGUGGGCGGUGCCUCUGACGAGGAAACAGAGACAUAAGAGGCCGGGCCGCGACGAGGCUUCAUUACUGCUACUGCAGCGUGUGUGUGAAGGGUGUGAAGCAAGGAUAACAAUGGCCCCCACCCCCCCUCCUCCUCUUACUGCUGUGGGCUCUGAGGGUCAGUGCACUGCUCUCGAUCGCAGCGUGCGUCUGUGCUGAGCCGGACAGAACCGAGGAGUACGAGGUCGUCCGACCGAUCAGACUGCACUCGCUUCACAAGAGACACGCAGAGGUAAGACACCUCAUAAGGACCUGGUCAGAGAGAUGUAGUUCACUACUGCCUCACAAGAGGCAAGCAGAGGUAAGGAGCCUCAGAACGACCUGGUCAGAGAGAUGUAGUUCACUACUGCCUCACAAGAGACAAGCAGAGGUAAGGAGCCUGUUAUCGACCUGGUCAGAGAGAUAUAGUAAACUAUUGCCUCACAAGAGAGAAGCAGAGUUAAGGAGCCUUAUAUCGGCCAGGU
ensembl:lncRNA